GUUCACACCACAACGACCUUGGAGGAGGGCGACCCAGGGCUCUGCACCGAUGCCGGGGGGCGGAGAGGGCCUGCCCCUGGGUUCGAAACCCAGCCCUACCCCUGACUGGCCAGGUGACUUUGAGCAAGACACAGGGUCUGUCUGAGUCUAAGUCUCUUCACCUAUAAAAGAGAACUAAUGAUCUUUACCUUGCAGUGAGGAGGAAAUGAAAUCAUGGCUACUGUGCAGGGAUGGGUAAACUGUAAAGGCUGGGGAGCACCCUGAGCCCCGUGACUGCUGGGCCCCUGGGUGUGGGAUCCAGAAGGAGAGGCUGGGAUUCGGGGAGGAGAAGGCACAGUUAUCCAACAACCUCCCCUGCGCCUCCUCUCACUGGGGAGGAGGAGAGGUAUUUGGGGAGAUGUGUUAUUUGGGGAAGAGAGUCAUGGGAUGGGGAGACAUUGGGGCUGGAUGGUGGCUUGGAUUUUCCGGUCUCACACCCUCAGCUCAAGGAUGAGGAUUCAGAGGCCCAGGAAGCAGCUGUGACACAGGCCCAAGCUCAUAUCCCUGCAUUAGGAUGGAGCCAGGGUGCAGGGGGUAUGGGCAAGGGUCCCCUGUGCCCCAAGGGUGGGCCCUCUGGGUGGAGCCAUCUCUGUUCUCAGUGGCAGUAACACUGACUCCUCUGCAGGAAAUAAACAGUCAGAAGCACAAGGCGGGAGAGGGUGGGACCUUCUGAGAUCAGUGAAGCUGUAGGUUGGAGUCCACCCACGGUGUGCUGGGCAGGAGGAGAGCCGGGCAGCGGGGAGCUUGGAAAGGCCUCGAAGGCUUCCUCUCUGCUGCUGUCCCUAGGAGGCUCUCUGAAGGCUCUGCCUUUUCCCAGCUUUGGCUAGGGGCCCCCACCCCACCCCACCCCACAUGGUGAGGGUCUCCCUAGGCCUUAGCCACAUGGCUUGGGGCAAUUCCAGGAGGAGGCCUCAGGUGUCCACAGAGCUUUCUGCCUAGCCAGCUCACCCCCACCACCAGCUUGUCCCCUCCUGUCUGUCCUCUGUCAGGAUCUGGGACCUGCCGCAGGCUCUUUAUCUCCAAGGGAAUUGCUGGGGACUGUCCCCACUCAGUGUCCCAGCCAGGGUCUUACUGUGCCCUGGUGCCCCAUUCUGCCAGACUUUGUCCAACUUCCACCCAGACGUCUGUGUCCCACCCUCCCUGGGCCCAAGUGACCCCUCUGGGCUCUUGGCUCCCUUUGCGGGAAGGUGGACCUCCCACCACAACAGCGGUCACUCGUCAGUCCAGAGGGAGGCUUCCAUGAGGUUGAGACGGCCAUUCUGACCUGAAGUUCCCCUCCCGCGGCAGGAAAGCUGCAGGCCGUCAUUCUGCUUCCUCUCCCUGGGGAAGUCGCCCUCCUU
rnacentral:lncRNA from 10 species